UGCAAGAGUAGGUAUCUUCUGAGGUGUAGUGGUUGAAGUCCAGCUGGUAACUUAGAACCAUGCAGCUGCUCACUCACUCCUUCCCCUUUCUCCCCCCCAGCUCCUGGAGGGAUGGGGAGG